UGAACGCUGGCGGCGUGCUUAACACAUGCAAGUCGUACGAGAAAUCUUCAGCUUGCUGAAGAGAGUAAAGUGGCGCACGGGUGAGUAACGCGUGGAUAAUCUGUCCUUGAAUCGGGGAUAACAUUGCGAAAGCGAUGCUAAUACCGGAUGAUAUCAUAAAGGCUUCGGCCUUAAUGAUCAAAGAUGACCUCUACCUGUAAGUUGUUGUUUGAGGAGGAGUCCGCGUACCAUUAGCUUGUUGGUAGGGUAACGGCCUACCAAGGCCACGAUGGUUAGCUGGUCUGAGAGGAUGAUCAGCCACACUGGAACUGACACACGGUCCAGACUCCUACGGGAGGCAGCAGUGAGGAAUUUUGUGCAAUGGGGGAAACCCUGACGCAGCAACGCCGCGUGAGUGAUGAAGGCUUUAGGGUCGUAAAGCUCUGUCAAGUGGGAAGAACCUAUCCGGAAUUAAUACGUUCGGGUACUGACGGUACCACUGAAGGAAGCACCGGCUAACUCC
rnacentral:rRNA from 1 species